rnacentral:tRNA from 1 species
AAAACGUAAAUUCUUGGUAUGGAAUACUAUUUUGCAAAGAUAGGAGAGCCUUAGGGCACGUUUUU